UGGGGAGCGAUGAGGAUUAGAUACCCUUGUAGUCCACGCCGUAAACGAUGAGUGCUAAGUGUUAGGGGGUUUCCGCCCCUUAGUGCUGCAGCUAACGCAUUAAGCACUCCGCCUGGGGAGUACGGUCGCAAGAUUAAAACUCAAAGGAAUUGACGGGGCCCCGCACAAGCGGCGGAGCAUGCGGAUUAAUUCGAUGCAACGCG
rnacentral:rRNA from 1 species